rnacentral:rRNA from 1 species
UACGGAGGGUGCAAGCGUUAAUCGGAAUUACUGGGGCGUAAAGCGCACGCAGGCGGUCUGUCAAGUCGGGGUGUGAAAUCCCCCGGGCUCAACCUGGGGAACUGCAUCCGAAAACUGGCAGGCUAGAGUCUUGUAGAGGGGGGGGGUAGAAAUUUCCAGGUGUAGCGGGUGAAAAUUUCGUAGAUAUUUCGCAAGAAACACCAGUGGGCGAAGGCGGCUCACUGGGUCCGGGUACUGACGCUGAGGGGUGCGAAAAAAGCGUGGGGGGG